rnacentral:rRNA from 1 species
ACACGUAGGGGGCGAGCGUUGUUCGGAAUCAUUGGGCGUAAAGGGCGUGCAGGCGGUCCUGCAAGUCCGGCGUGAAAGACCCCGGCCCAACCGGGGGGACGCGCUGGAAACUGCAGGGCUUGAGUACAGGAGGGGAUGCCGGAAUUCCAGGUGGAGGGGUGAAAUCUGUAGAUAUCUGGAAGAACGCCAAUGGCGAAGGCAGGCAUCUGGCCAUGUACUGACGCUGAGACGCGAAGGUGCGGGGAGCAAACAGGUUUAGAUACCCUGGUAGUCCGCACAGUAAACGAUGUGCACCAGGUGGCGGGGGGUCGACCCCCGGUACCGUAGCUAACGCAUUAAGUGCACCGCCUGGGGAGUAUGCUCGCAAGGGUGAAACUCAAAGGAAUUGACGGGG